rnacentral:lncRNA from 1 species
AAUUGGAUAAUGCAAGCAUGGAGACAUGAGGAUGGACAUUUUUGAAGAUUUGAAGGCUAGAAAUUAACAUGUUUGUGUGCAAGUGUGUUGAUCCACUCAUUACCAAACAUCCAUCCACUACACCCAUUACAUCCACUGAUUACUAAACACUCACACUCAUCCACUACACCCAUUACAUCCACUCAUUACCACAACCCACUCAUUACCAAACAUCCAUCCACUACACCCAUUACAUCCACUCAUUACCAAACACUCAUCCACUACACCCAUUACAUCCACUCAUUACCAUAACACUCACUCACUACACCCAUUACAUCCACUCAUUACCACAACAUACACCACUACCACCUUAAUUAGAUGGUGGUCCUCUCCCUAGCCUAUAAAUACAUCCACCCUUCUCCAUAACAAAAAGGGGGGAAAAAGAUCCAUCAAAAGACACUACAUUCACAUCUCACAACUCCAUACACUUACACUUUCAUUCCUUGGCCGAGAGAACACUAUCCACCCAUCCACCCUUCACCAUAACUCACCUAUAUCCAUCCACCGCCAUAAUUUACCACUCAUCCAUAAAACCACACCUUGUGCCUCAACAAAGAGAAAAAUGAGGACCCUUGGACGUGCUUGCCAUUCAAGUUGGAUUGUUGGAGCGUUUUUAGGUGUUUUCAUUCUUUGUUUUCAAUAUCUAAAUUUGUUUAUCUUUACUUUAUGAGUAUGAGGAGCUAAACCCCCCUUAGCUAGGGGGGAAUUCGAAACCAUGUUCAUGCUUGCAAUAUGAUUUGAUUACCUUAAGUUAUGAUUUCAUAAGUUGUGAAUUCAAUUUGUUUAACUGCUUGAUUGAUAACUUAUUCAUGUAUGUUUAUUAAGAGUGCACACUUAGUUUGCAUGCAUGAAUAUGAUGCUAGAGUAUAAGGAAGUUUCACCUAAUAGUUACAAACUUAUAUUCACAAGUAGUGGAGGUUGCUUAUAAACGAUCGCGUUAAAUGAAUUCUUAGCAGAAGUUUCAUGCUCAUCAUAGUAACGAAUGCCUCGUCAAUACUUAUAGUUUUCAUAAUGCUUAAUGAUCUUUGAUUGUAUCUUUAUUGUGCUGUUCACGUAAAGGACUUUUAAAGAAUGCUUGAAUUGUUGUAUGCGCUUUCCCAUCCAAUUCAAUAACUUAAGGAGAACUUGAAGGUUAAUUUAA